UACGAAGGGGGCUAGCGUUGCUCGGAAUCACUGGGCGUAAAGGGCGCGUAGGCGGCCGUUCAAGUCGGGGGUGAAAGCCUGUGGCUCAACCACAGAAUGGCCCUCGAUACUGGAUGGCUCGAGACCGGAAGAGGUUGGUGGAACUGCAAGUGUAGAGGUGAAAUUCGUAGAUAUUCGCAAGAACACCAGUGGCGAAGGCGGGUCUCUGGGCCGAUACUGACGCUGAGGAGCGAAAGCGUGGGGAGCGAACAGG
rnacentral:rRNA from 1 species